rnacentral:rRNA from 1 species
UACGUAGGUGGCAAGCGUUGUUCGGAAUUAUUGGGCGUAAAGGGCGCGUAGGCGGUUUGUUAAGUCGGUCGUGAAAGCCCGGGGCUCAACCCCGGAGGGUCGACCGAUACUGGCAGACUAGAGUACAGAAGAGGCGAGUGGAAUUCCUGGUGUAGCGGUGAAAUGCGCAGAUAUCAGGAGGAACACCAAUGGCGAAGGCAGCUCGCUGGGACGGUACUGACGCUGAGACGCGAAAGCGUGGGGAGCAAACAGG